rnacentral:rRNA from 1 species
UAGGGAAUCUUCCGCAAUGGACGCAAGUCUGACGGAGCAACGCCGCGUGAGUGAAGAAGGAUUUCGGUUCGUAAAACUCUGUUGUUAGAGAAGAACAGCGCAUAGAGUAACUGUUAUGCGUGUGACGGUAUCUAACCAGAAAGCAACGGCUAACUACGUGCCAGCAGCCGCGGUAAUACGUAGGUGGCAAGCGUUGUCCGGAUUUAUUGGGCGUAAAGCGAGCGCAGGCGGUCAAUUAAGUCUGAUGUGAAAGCCCCCGGCUCAACCGGGGAGGGUCAUUGGAAACUGGUUGACUUGAGUGCAGAAGAGGAGAGUGGAAUUCCAUGUGUAGCGGUGAAAUGCGUAGAUAUAUGGAGGAACACCAGUGGCGAAGGCGACUCUCUGGUCUGUAACUGACGCUGAGGUUCGAAAGCGUGGGUAGCAAACAGG